rnacentral:misc_RNA from 1 species
CACCACUCAAGCCUGGCUUGGUAAUGGGCCCCGGGGGCGACCCGGACCCGAAUGUCGCCGGCUGGACGUCUCCCAGAUCUCUGCGGUAUGCAUCAAUUCGCGGACGAGAUGGGACGGCCGGGCCGUUAAACAUAUUCAUCAAGG